rnacentral:rRNA from 1 species
UACGUAGGGUGCGAGCGUUAAUCGGAAUUACUGGGCGUAAAGCGUGCGCAGGCGGUUUUUUAAGCCAGAUGUGAAAUCCCCGGGCUCAACCUGGGAAUGGCAUUUGGGACUGCAAGGCUGGAGUUUGGCAGAGGAGACUGGAAUUCCCGGUGUAGCAGUGAAAUGCGUAGAUGUCGGGAGGAAUACCGAUGGCGAAGGCAGGUCUCUGGGCUAUAACUGACGCUCAUGCACGAAAGCGUGGGGAGCAAACAGG